UCUAUUGAUGGUCGCGGAGUCUCGGAGUCGACUCGUGCAAUGCGGGAGUCGACUCGAAUCUCAGAGUCCCAAAAAUGCUCUCUGACUUUUUCCUUGUGUUCCGCUGAGAGUCGACUCUUGCUUUCUUUGGAGUCGACCUACCAACCAUCGGAGUCGACUCGCGUUCCACUGGAGUCGACUCGAAUCUCAGACCCGAAAACUGCACUCUGACUUUUCUGCCUGUGACUCCUAGGAGUCGACUCAUACUUCUCCGGAGUCGACUCAUACUUCUCCGGAGUCGACUCGAAUUCCACUGAACUUUAAGCUUGGGCCAAUAAAUUGUAGCUUUCUUCCAACUUGAGAGCUUUGGAGGCCUUCUUGUGUUCUCCCAACUUGCUAUGUUCCUUGCAAAAUAAAUAUCUUUCUCCUUGCAACAUAAACAUUAGUAUCUAUACUUCAAGGCUUUGUGAUCAUCAAAAUCAAUCUAUGAAUCAAU
rnacentral:lncRNA from 1 species